AUUGAACGUUGGCGGCAGGCUUAACACAUGCAAGUCGAGCGGGGUGAUGGUGCUUGCACUAUCACUUAGCGGCGGACGGGUGAGUAAUGCUUAGGAAUCUGCCUAUUAGUGGGGGACAACAUCUCGAAAGGGAUGCUAAUACCGCAUACGUCCUACGGGAGAAAGCAGGGGAUCACUUGUGACCUUGCGCUAAUAGAUGAGCCUAAGGCGGAUUAGCUAGUUGGUGGGGUAAAGGCCUACCAAGGCGACGAUCUGUAGCGGGUCUGAGAGGAUGAUCCGCCACACUGGGACUGAGACACGGCCCAGACUCCCACGGGAGGCAGCAGUGGGGAAUAUUGGACAAUGGGGGGUACCCUGAUCCAGCCAUGCCGCGUGUGUGAAGAAGGCCUUAUGGUUGUAAAGCACUUUAAGCGAGGAGGAGGCUCUUUUGGUUAAUACCCAAGAUGAGUGGACGUUACUCGCAGAAUAAGCACCGGCUAACUCUGUGCCAGCAGCCGCCGUAA
rnacentral:rRNA from 1 species